rnacentral:lncRNA from 1 species
AAUGUGAGCUUGAGUUGAAAUCACUGAACUGUUACCAAAAAAGUUUCACCCCAAAAGAAACAAAAACAUCACCCAAAAAAUUAUUCCCCCCCAAAAAAACAAGGCUUCUAGGAUUUCGAGUUCAGAGAAAACUGCAUGUUUAUUUAGACACAGAAGAUCUUUGCAUCAGUAAUAACCAAAUAAGUUGAGUGUAGUUGGUCACUGCUGGUGGUUUUUGAGUGUUCUGUUACUUAUUUGACUACUUCAUUCCAGCUUUAAAACUGGGCAGGUUACCAGUGUGCUGUCUGUAUUUACACUGCUGAAUGCUCUGUGGGUCAGCUUUGGAACCCAGCUGCUGGUAUGUUGAUUGCAUUUUUGUGGGACACAUUAAUAACAGGAACAAUCUGUUGUCUUCAAGUGUCUAGGGCUUGGAAGGUCUUAUCCUGGCCACCUGCUCAUCAGUGGGCCAUAGGCUGUGCCUGUACAGAUGUGAGAGGUGUGAAUAGGGUGGAAAAGCCUGGUCUCCGGCUCUGUGCUGGCCUGUAGGUCACCCUUCUUUCUAAGGAUUUUUGGUAUUUUUUUCUUCUGACGUCUGCUUCUCAAUCAUUUUGAGGAACAGGGGCUAAUGAGGCAGCAGAUCAGAGCAGUUAAAAUAAGCUAAAUGUUAGAUAGUUGGGAAUCAGAACAGCUUUACUUUGCCACCUACGAGUCAUACUUCCUGUGUGAAUGAUCUUACUUUGACCAAGACUUACCCCACAAGGUUCAGGGGACAACCACUUAUAGAAUUGGUUAGGUCUGUAAUUCCCUUUCUGAAUAACAGGAAGGGCUAAGAGAGGAAACAAAGAUCCUUACUUCUUAGCAAAGGCACAGAAUAAAGAUGAUCAAAUUCUCUUGGGAUUUCUUGUUACUGGUAUAUCUUUUUUUUUUCCUUCUUGUGGAGUAGAAUUGGUGGGGUUUCAGAAAUAUGCUCAGUCGGUGUCAACCACUUCCUAUUGUGGCUGACAGCUGUUCUCAGUGUUUGCAGAUGUGAGGCACAGAAGCACUCCUUAUGAAACGAUUGCUUGAGAAGAACAGAAGGGUUCUGGCAAAGGGAGCAUUUGCCCCCAUAAAUUACUUCUGUAGCCUCUUGUUGGAGCAGUCAUUGAGUGGGAUUCUGCAUCCCACACUUGAAAAUGGUCCCAGGUCUCAUUGCUUCUCAUAGAGUGUUCCCCAGUGACAGGGGACAGCAGUCUGUGUGCUUCCUGUGAAAUGAAAUGACCUAUCCUCUUCCUCAGCAGUACGAAGUUCUCUUUUGCAAUGCAAUGAAGUUGCGUAUUACGUGGCUGGAUCACUGAGGACGUGUGUCUGUGGGGUGACACCCACUGAUGCUGUGGUACUGAUGGAGAAUGAGUUGGCCCGGCUUCAUGUUUGCUCCAAGUUCAUUGGUUGUGUGUUACGGUGUGACUGUGUGCGUGGCACAGAGGACAAAGUUACAUUAAUUAGCAUAACUGCCUCCCUCUUAAGGAAGAAGAACCAAAUCAAAAGAUAUGAGGAAGAGUAUUCAGGAUCAAAUGACUCUUGAUUUUCCAACACCACCAAGUGAGACUUGUCACAUGUGACCCAUCCGAAGCUUACCAUGCAGUCAGUUGCAGUGAUGGUAUGCCUUAGUCAUGAUGUCUCACCUGGAAUGGACUGAAGCAUGGUGUUGUUACACUGAUUACAGAUAAGUUCACAGAUCAGUUUGUUAAUAAAUCACUUGAUAAUUCUUUUAAUUAACAACUGACUGAUAGAAAGUCAGUUAGUGUGACCAAGCAGGAAUGUAGUGAUGGCUGGGGUCUGUACAGCUGUAGGGUUGUAGGCUGACUAUGUAACCUGCUGAUCAUAAAAGUGCUGACUCCUGCUUUCAUACUGGCUCCCGGGAUUUCAGAUUUGCAAUGUGUGUUUGUUCCUUUCUCACUGAACCAGAGUGCUGGAGUGAAGACAGUCCAAAAAAGACAGAAGGGAGAGAAAACAAGGGCAGAGAAUUUUUGUCUUUUUGACCAAAAAAUAAACGCAGUGUAGAACAGUUUGUAGAGCUACACAGCACUGCCUUUGUGUUCUGAGAGUGUACCUGAAUUACUGCAUAAAUCAGUUUGGCAUAGCAUAGGUCCUGCUGAAUCUACACAGCUACCUUCAUCUGGUCAUGUAGCAAGGCUACACCUUGCUAAACAAGGCAGCAUUUCAAAAACAUGACAGAGAAAUGUGCUGAAAACCCAUCCCUUGUCCCCUGCAUCCAAUGUGUUCUGGCACAUCUGCUACAGCUGCACCCAUGGGCACGGUGGUUCUCAGCUCCCUUGCUUGUGGGCUUUGGGCAUACUGUGUGUGUGAACUGGUAUGGGUCUUGGCCUUAUUAUUAUGCUCCAAAACUCCCAUGUUGCUGACUUUUUUGCAAAGUACAGUAGUUCAGACAUGGCUCUCUGUUGCGUUUCACUUUAAAGGUUUAAUAGCAUUUUAUUUAUACAGGGAGAGCAACAAAUGCACUGUUAGCCAAAUGUUGCAAAUCUUUCUGCUAUUCAGCUCUGCUUACCCAUGGUCUACAGUCUCAAACAGACAAAAGUAGAUAGGAAGCAGCUAUGGUCAGAGGCUUGCCCUGACCAACAUUGCCUUUCACCACCUUUGGAGGUGGAUUUUGAGCUAGAUGUCCUACUGGUUUGGCCCAGAAGGGAUUUCUCUGUGUUUCUGUAUGUCCCUACUCCAGUGUCAGCACUGAGGUAGCCAUGGAUACAGUAUUUCUACAUUCUUGGGUGUUCAGCAAAUGUGCCUAGACUCUUGUUUAUUUUUUAAGGGGUUAAUAUAGAAUGAGCACGUUUUUCCUAGCUUCUGGAAAUUCAGAACAUUAACUUACGUUAGCUUCUAUUUAAUAACAUUAAAUAAAGUUGAGAGAUGGCUAUCUCAGGGAGCUAAGCUGUGCAUGCACCCAAGGGCAAAAAAAAAACCAACCACCCAAAAAAGUGAGAAUAGAGGAGGGGCGAUGGAUAAGGAAAGUGCUUGUUUGGGCAGGCUUUUUCAGUGGCUAAUGUGUGUGUAAGGUAGGGGGUGGAGAUGCUCUACAGAGCAUUCUGAAGUAACAAAAUAGCCUGCUUUAGUUGAUCAGAAUGGAUUGAGAUGGCAGUCUACACAUCCCUACACACACAGAAGCAAACACUCUUUCCUUCUCUGUCUCUUGUACACAAACCAGCAAGAGCUCGGGUAUCCGUGUUCACACAUAGAGCAGGGCUGAACACAGCUCCUUGGCUUUUCCAUUGGGUUUUAAGAUGAGACUGUUUCCUCUGUAGAAAGCACUUGUUUCCUAUCUUCAGUAAAAAGUGCUUUUCACUCAAAAGACCCACCUGAUUUUGACAAUUAACCUAGCAGAGCAGAGAAGCAAGUGGGGAGACCCAUCCGCUGAUGCAGCAGGUUCCAAUUCCCCCCUGCAGCCUGUCCUUGGGCAGGUUUUAUUUCCUGUCACAAAUAAGGUCUUUAAAACCUUCUGCGUGGUUCACCCGAUAGAAAAACCUCUACUCUGUAUUAAUGGCUAAGAGGUCUUUCUACCAGAUGUAAGAUUCAGUGAAACAUAUACAAUUUCUUCGGUUUUAACGGGAACAGAUGAUUUAAUAAGCAGCUAUAAAUCUCCUGGGAAUGUGCAGACAUAGUCAAACAAUACAUUUCUGCCAGAUUUUUCACUGACUAGACUUAAAGCAUGAGUCAUAGCGCUCUGCUCCGUUCUCCACCUCAGAUGCCUGCUGUUGCUGUUCUCAGAGGUGCGGUGCUGCGUAUGGGGUGGCUGGGUGAUCGCCCUCUCUUGUUAAUGGGCUUGCUCCUUCUUUCAGGAGGUGGUGUUCAAGCAGUUGACUUUCAUUCACUGUGUGUGCAUGACGUGUCUUUUCUGUUCCCAGGCCCAAAUUGAGGUUUUUAGAACUAUAUAAUGAAAACAUUUGGGGGUUAUGGUAAUAUGUUCUCCUCAAUGGGGUUAGUAGUAAGAAUGUGGUCAAAUGAAGAGAUAAAAUCAGCCUCUUUCUCAAUACAGCAGUGCUUUCCUUCCAGCAGUCUUUGGCCACUCUGUGAAGUUUAAUAUAUUUACGUUAACAGUAUUUCUAAUAAACUUCAUUUAUUACCACAUCUUCAGAGAUGGGAAAACCAAGAUGGAUUCAGUUACCUGUGGCUCAUGGCGACUUACAGGGGAGGAAGUCUUAAUGUACAGCUUGUUGGCUUUCUGGCUUUCCACGAGUGUCCUAGAUGGCUGGGAAUGGGGAAGGCAAGCUCCUGAUUUGAACAACUUACAGGUGGUUUGCAAGUUGUGUGUGUUACACUUGGAAGUUGCUCUAAAGGAGGUGAGGUAUAAGGAUUGUUAAGAUUUGCUCCAGGUCACAGAGCAGUAAAUAAGAGAUGCCAUUCUCUUAUGGUGAUAAAACACCGGUCUGUGUAGGAACUUCUUAACCACUGUGGAAGACAGGUUUGCAGUAGUGCUUAUUCUGAAUGCAGUUGGAUGGAAGGGAUUUUAAAAAUGGCCUAUGCUGUAGAUUUCUUUUUUUUUAAUCUUGUGGUGUAACUAGCUAAGAUUUUAGAGUGUUAUCAGAUACAAAACCUUUGUCUAAGAAAAAUGGUGCAUUUCAUCUCAUACUCAGGCAGGAGAAAGCAUGGUCUAAAUCUUUCCCUCCGGAUUACCUUUGCUUUUGUUGUGCUGUAGGACUGUGCGAACAGGGAGCAAAGUUUCAGAUUUUGGUGGUAGGGAUGAUGAGAAAACUAUGUGCUUUGACCAUUGGAGGGAGUAUCAAAAAUAGAUGGAUGUGGAACGGGUUAAGAAACUGGAAAUAGCCUUGGAGGUUGGUUUAUGUCCAGAAUUGUAUAACAUGAUGAACUGAACGUAUGGUUUGCCAUCUACAGUGAGACUGCAUCGCUUCAGUAAUGCUUGCUUUUCACUUGUCAGAGCUUCAGGAAGCCAAGCAGGUAUUCUGUUACUAGGUGAAGGAAGUUGUCCUAGGUCACGUAACAGAAGGGGGUUAAAAUCAAGAACAGCGUUGGAUUCUUCUGACUCCUUGUUGGGUCCCUGCUCUGCUUCCUUCAGUGUGGAUUUCACCCAUAUGUAAACAUGCAAAAAGGCCCUUUCAGAUCUUUCUGGCAAACGGAGAGCACUGCUUUGUGCUUUCAGUAAGCACACGGAUCUCAUAUUUACUGAUGGGACUUUCAUGCAUCAGGAAAUGAGAAAACUGGUGUCAUAAUCAGCAUGUCUGUUCUUGAAUGGGGAAUUUUCCCCAAAGCAAGUGUUGAUGCAUGCUAUUAAUGAUUUGCAUCUUAUGGUUCAGAUUUUCCACAGGCUGCUUCCAGCAUGGUAGGUGCUAGCCUGGCUUUGCAAUGAGCAUACACAUGCCCAGCUGCGAGUGUCACAGCUCAUACUUACAUGUUUAAAUCUCAGCACAACUGUGUGAUGAAUUGCGAAUGAUUAUGUGCUCCGUCUCAGCUGGCACUGUAAGAUGUCACCAUUUUUUGUGGUAUCAGUUGCAAGGAGCAGUGGUUCCAGGGAGUUGUCUGUCCCCUUAAAACAAUGUAUACAGCAAUGGGGAACACUGUGUGACUACAUGGACCUAAUCCAGUGUUUUUAAAGAAAAAUAUCCAUAACAGUGUCCUGGCCUAUAUAAGCUGUAUAGUUUUCCCAGACUUGGAAGAAAAAUACUGGUACUUUCCCAAGUUCCACCCUUUUCAGCCAGAUGCUUAAAAAAAAAAAGUCAAUUCUUUUCUUUUGUCUUAAAAUGGGAAGGGAAAGAAUGUAAUUAAAAGAAGAAAUUAUGCUUCUUAAUGGCAGGAGGCAAAAUCUUAUUUCUGAACCUUCUGUCUAGAUGAGAGUAAAGCAAAAUGACUACUUCUAACUUUGUAUUCUUUCCUUAAGUAUUAACUUCUACUCUUAACGGUGAAAGAGGAGACUGGUGGGUGUAUAACUACCGGCAGACUGACCCAGGUAUUCAAGUGAGUCCUUCCUUGGAUGUGAAGCUGUCUUCAGAGGCGUCCCCCACCUCCUUUUGGAAGAGUUCACUGAGCUGGGGGUGGAAGAAUGACCUUGCUUUUCAGGCAUUCAUCUGGAGCUCAAGCACUCGGAGCUGAAUUCCCAACGAUGGGACAUACUUCCUCUGUGGUCUGCAGCAUUUUGCACAGGGGAUGUCUGUGCAGCACAAUGGAACUCUGCACAGAGAGCCCUGGGGCUGACUCCAGGAGGUCUGCGCAGCCCCACAGUGUGAUGGGGCACUGUGUGGAGGCACGGCCUCCUUUCUGAGAACAAUGCAGCUGUGCUAGCUCAAGCCCCAGGCUGCUCUCUGUUCAGAGUUAUCAUGGUUGUGGCUCAUUGGGAUGUCUCUUCAUUGUUUAACCCAAGAAGCACUGAGGUGCUUGGAAGUUUCACCAAAUGUUUUUGAACUGUCUGUAUAUUCUGCUUUUGGAUUUAUUUAUUUUUUUGGCUCAAGCUGGUCCUAGUUGCUCUGCUGUCACUGACUUUCAUUUCUUGCAUGGCACUGGAAAUGAGCUAGAAGGAAGGCUUAACCUCAGCGCUUUCCCAUGCCCAAAUAAACUGUUUUCCAGGAAGAAAAGUGUUCCAACGUCCCUUGGAAUUGGGCUGAUCCUGAUUGCCUUGCAGGGCCUAAAUACAACCUCACAGGAGGCAGCAGAGCCUCGUGGGCAGAGCUGAGUCAUGAUGUCUUUCUUAGGGGGAUCAGCGUGCAGCCUCACACGCAGAUCCACUUAACUCCUUAACAAACUUUGGGCAAGUUAGCUCCUUUGUUAAGGAGUUAAGUGGACAGUGGUGACAUUUACCCAGCAAUUUAGAGCACACUGAGGGCCAAGAAUGAAAGGAACUGCAUAUAUUCAAAGCAAUAUUUUGUUUAUCUGUUCUAUACAAAAUAGAGAAGAAAACAGCUUUAUUGUCUUCAGCUUGUAAAAUCUGCAUGCUAUUAUGAUUAUGGCAGUAAGCAAGACAAACUCAUUAUAUGCCUGCGAGAACACGUGCCAUUGCUGGCUUGUAGGCUUUGCUGGCUUUGUAGGUGAUUGGAGGAGUGAGUGCUGGGUUGCGCUCACAACUCCCUUCCUUCUCAGCAGUGUGAAGCAGGGCUCACAGCCACCCCCAGCAAGUUAUCAGCAGUUCACAGAGUCUCCAGGCCAACUUGACUGCUCAAGUCAUGAUUGAACUACAGAAGUUGUCCUACAGCUAAGUUAUUGCUUUUUGUCCAAAGGAAUGUCAGGCUGACAUUUUCUUCUUGGAGACUCUUGACUAAUAGGCCAUAGGAGAUAAGUCAGAGGGGGUUGCAUAAACUUCCUGUGAACUUUUAUAGCUAACGAUCAAAGGGAAUCACAAAACAUGUUGUUGUUAUUUGUCAAUUCAUUUAUUUUGAAGUUCAGCACAGCAGUAUUGGUUGUCAUUUUUCUAGCAUAAACAAGGUGAAUUGCACUGGAUGCUCAGUCACUUGGCCCUCUUAUUUCCUAUUCUGAAUUUAAAUUAAAAGCUUUUUCACAGGAAUUGGAAAAACGCACACAAAAACUACCCAGCACACAUGUUCUGCUUCAGAAGCCAGCACUGCACUGUUGAAUGUAUUUGUUCUCGUGUCUUUUGCUUACUUGGCUAAAACUAAAAGAUGCUCUUCACUUUACAAGCUCUGCAGAGCCAGUGUAACAGAGAUUGUUCCCAACAAGCUGCUUUGUUCUUUGUGGCACUACUUGAGUGAAAGUCAUCAGUACAGGAACAUGCACAGCAGUUUGAAGAACGCCUCUUCAACUGGGGGGGUUAGCUUAAAGGAUCUAUCUUUUCUCAUUGUUUAUGUGCUCUAAGAAGGAUUUUGCCCCAUUGGUUGCACUAAGUUGGAGUUUUGCAGCACCUGGUCAGCUGUGCACGUGAUUUAGCCCUCUCAGAUUUGUAUUCUUGUGAGUGCUGCUUGCACUGCAAUUCCAAGUGUGAGGGGAUCUGUUUUUUCAGUUACCUUCUGGUCCCAUGCAUACCAUGUUUUAUUGCGCCAUGAGCAAGGGCACUAGAAACUUGUCCUCUGGCUUUUACUUAAAAGAAGCAGUAGUGAAGACAAAUUUUGGUGUCUUGCAUUCCUAUAGGUUCAAAUCAGAAGUUCAUUGGAAUUUCAAGCAACGCGCUGACAUUUCUCCUGAUAUGACUUAUGCCCACAGGAAGCCUGCUUGUCUCAUUUGUCCCUCUUCUUGGGACACAAAUCUAUGCUUGAUGGUUGUGUGUAUAUAUAUGUAGUAAAAUGUGGUGCUGAAAGAAACUGACAUGUACGAAGGGCAGACUUUUCUUGUGUCCAGAUAGAACAAGUAGUCUCUCCUUGGGAGCUUCUCCAUCCAUCAGUUUUGGUCCUAUUGCUUCCUGCUUUCCCUUUUCAGGCAUUCCUGGGAUACAGCACAGCCUCACACAGGAAGGAUGUUGGCUGGAGUGCGUGAGUUGGAGACAGGGCUGGCUCAGGAGAAUUAAGGAGACGGGCUUACUUACAUGAGCUUCCCACCUUUUGGCUAUCCCUACGGCUUGGCCUGGUGCCAUCUGAAACAGUUUACUGUACUGUGAUGUUGCGGGCUGGCUGAACUGGCUGGCUGGGCCUGGAGCCAGGUUGUAUGGCUGGUUUGGCUUUGCACCACUUUCCUAGCAGGGUGAGCUGUAAUAUGUGUCUCCUGUCAAGAAUCAGGUUGUAGGCAUGGAUAAUUCUCAAACCAGGCUUUUACAUGAGUGAAUUCUACACUGUUAAAGUUUGAAGUUUUUUUAUUAAGGACUCAUUCAGCUUGUUGCUCAGCACUUUUUCAAUCUCAUCAGUACAUAUAGCAUGGAGAGCAUGUCCUGAUUAUGUAAUCAAUCAGCGUCUUAAAGCUUUAAUGGCAAAAUAAAAACUAUCUCCACUUGUUCUUUCUAAAAUAAAGCACUAUGGUAAAAUAUUGUAGCACGUGUGUGGUGUAUUUUGAAGUCCUUUUGAAGUCAGUGUUUGAGUACUUUGCUGAAUCAGGUCCUGGAGCAAUAAUAGCCGUGAUGUAAACAUACUGUAUUUCUGGUUGAGUGUCCACGCAGGAGCUAAAUGUGUGUCAUGUUCUUGUCAUGACCUCCUGAGUACAGACAUCAUCUUAAUUUCACUGAAUCACUUAGAAACUUUGGCAAAUUAUCUGGCACCCAGAUGAGAGGCCAAAGUCAGGCCAAAGUAUGGCAGGCUUUCAUAUGCAAAAAGAGAUCAAACUGAAUUGGGAUACG